UACGUAGGGUGCGAGCGUUGUCCGGAAUUAUUGGGCGUAAAGAGCUCGUAGGCGGCUUGUCGCGUCGGAUGUGAAAGCCCGGGGCCUAACUCCGGGUCUGCAUUCGAUACGGGCAGGCUAGAGUUCGGUAGGGGAGAUCGGAAUUCCUGGUGUAGCGGUGAAAUGCGCAGAUAUCAGGAGGAACACCGGUGGCGAAGGCGGAUCUCUGGGCCGAUACUGACGCUGAGGCGCGAAAGCGUGGGGAGCAAACAGG
rnacentral:rRNA from 1 species